GUAGUUUGUCCAAGUGGUGUUGCCGUAUUAUUUCCGCUGCAGCGCUACUUCCGUGUACAUUUUGGUCAGCGUCUCACUAAUAAUUCUUCUCAAAUUGGUAUUGUGUGUACAGGAGCCUCCUCUCAGAGCGGGUUGUCACCAAUUUACUGGACUAAAACGUAAUUGAUAACAUUUUAGCGUCCGGAAAAAUUCGUAUUCGUGUACGUUAAAGCUUCGCAAGAUAGCUUCGCUUAGCUUAGCUAGCUAGCUGCGAACAAGGCGACGCGUUUUGCUGCAAGCGGAGAUCAAGUUUUGUACUUGCCGUGUGGCAAUGUGUGCAAUCAGUGUGAAAGAGGAGUACGAAGAGGAGCUAUGUCGUCUAAAAGAGAACGAUGGACAACGUCUGUUGUCAGACGCUGUAGUCAAGACUCCUCGAGUUGUGUCGCACAGAGCAGACCACACUAAAAAGCACCAGGAACCUCAGUGCCCUUCCAUUAAAAAAGAAGUAGAGGAAGAGUCCCCCCACAUUAAAGAGGAAGAAGAGCCUGGUCACCAAUGUGCUGGAUCACAUCAAGAUAGUCUCUUAGCUCCACGAUCAGAUUGUGACAUAUCGUCACACCCUUCUGACAGUGACACUGAUGAUGAACGCUCGAAAGGUUUCAUUAAUUACACUGGAACCACAUCCAGCGCUGGCAUUGGAUGUGGAAAGAAAGUAAGAAUGUGUUUUUCAAGACAGAACUGCCACAGAAAAUGCAACUGCAAUCCCCGAAGUCGAUGAUGAAGACAACGAUGGAAUUGAUUCCUCCACCUCCACGAAAGAAGAACUAUCCGUGUGCGAAAUUAACACAGAGGAGCAGAGUUCUCUCUCCCUGGAAAUGUUAGAUGAAGACCAACAUCCGCCUGCAGAUUCAUUUUCUUACACCGAAGAGGCUUUCGUGUGUCAAAUGCACAAGAAACGGUCAGGAGAGAGUUUCCACAGCAGAGAGCUGCCACAACAUCAGAGGGAUCUGAUCGUUGAAAGGUAUCAGUCGGGAGAAGGGUACAAAAAAAUUUCCAAGGCAUUAAGUAUACCAUGGAGCACAGUGAAAAGCGUCAUCGUCAAGUGGAGGAAAAAUGGCACCACAGUCCCGUUACCAAGAACCGGACGGCCCUCCAAAAUUGACGAAAAGACGAGAAGAGAACUGGUCAGGGAGGCUGUCAGGAGGCCGACGGCAACACUGAAGGAGCUGCAAGAAUUCCUGGCAAGUACUGGCUGUUCGGUACAUGUGACAACAAUCUCCCGACUCCUUCAUAUGUCCGGACUUUGGGGUAGGGUGGCAAGAUAAGGGGUGAAGACUUUUACUAAGUAUUAUGACCGAGGUCGUAAGUUCUCAUGUUUUUGCGGCAAUGUUUGCUUGAAGGUCCAUGCAGGUGUGUUUAUUUUGUUUGAUUGGGGUUGAUGGGCAUCGGCUCUCCUGAUUGUUGGCGUGGGAGGACCAUCUCUUUAAGAGCAGAAUUGCAAUGACAAAAAGAGAACAGUAACCCUCGUCUACCCUCUUCCAACUGGCCGCACGAUGAAAAUUGUUUGUAAACCGAACCCUGGCACAAUCAAGAAGAGGUGAACCGGCACUUGUUGUAGAGCACUUUUCCACCAAUUAUGAAAUUCAAAGCGCUUCACCUACUGAUGGCGCAGCAUCAGGAGCCACUGUGGGGGGAUGUUCAACAUCUUGCUCAAGGACACUUUGACAUAGUCACAAGGGCCGGGGAUCGAACCCACAACCUCUAGGUUGGGCGUGGCCCACUCUCCCCUGAUCCAUGCCACUCCCGUUGUGUUGCUUCCUUGGUUGCAUUUGACGACUCUCCAAGUGAGAAAUGUCUUUUUGUGUUUUUUCUCCUUGGUGCACCCUGAAUGAAAUCUUUUUUUUGCAAAAUAAUAUAUCCAUGGUAAAACCAGUAAUAUUGUGAAUAAAUAUUUUUAUUUUA